rnacentral:rRNA from 1 species
CCUACGGGAGGCUGCAGUGGGGAAUAUUGGACAAUGGGGGCAACCCUGAUCCAGCCAUGCCGCGUGUGUGAAGAAGGCCCUCGGGUUGUAAAGCACUUUCAGUGAGGAAGAACGCCUGGUGGUUAAUACCCAUCAGGAAAGACAUCACUCACAGAAGAAGCACCGGCUAACUCCGUGCCAGCAGCCGCGGUAAUACGGAGGGUGCGAGCGUUAAUCGGAAUUACUGGGCGUAAAGCGCGCGUAGGUGGCUUGAUAAGCCGGUUGUGAAAGCCCCGGGCUCAACCCGGGAACGGCAUCCGGAACUGUCAAGCUAGAGUGCAGGAGAGGAAGGUAGAAUUCCCGGUGUAGCGGUGAAAUGCGUAGAGAUCGGGAGGAAUACCAGUGGCGAAGGCGGCCUUCUGGACUGACACUGACACUGAGGUGCGAAAGCGUGGGUAGCAAACAGGAUUAGAUACCCCAGUAGUC